CGAGCUCCAGCACGGAGGGGAUGUCAUCGUCAAACAUAGGCCUGGAGAUCAGAAAACACGGUUUGAACACACAAGAAUCUUCCAAGUGAAAAGGACUAAAUAAAGAUUAUAAUCUUGUCUAGUCUGCAUUAUUAGGGUUAUUUCAUGAAUGGUUACAUCAGGAUAUUUAAAUAGCUUUAAUAAUUUUAUUUUCUCAACAUCCCCACUACUUUGAAGUGGCAGUCAUUUUAGUGGUUAGAUAAAUUCACGGUGAUGAACAAUCUUUGAGGAUUAAUGGAUGGGGGAAUUACCAUAUUACCAUAGAUAGAUUAAAGGUUGGGUAUGGAAUUCUCUUUUUUGGCCAUUUUUGCAAAAUUACUUGAAAUACUUAUCAUAACCCACUUACAGCCACUGAGUUAGAAGUACUGACAUGAAAAUUAAACAAGUCAAUCAUCUGUGGAACGGACAGGGCUCGAAAAACUCCAGCCAAUGAUUUCCAGAACCACAGAGUGGCAUUGGACCGUAAGUACGUCAAUCAAACGGUCAUACUGCACUCCCCCUCCCCCGCUCCCCGCACGUGACCCCUUCGUGCACGUACUCAAAGCUCGUGACCCAGAGCAAGCUUCUGUUUGUUGUUAUCCUGUAGUAGCUACUGGAGCUAGCUAACUAGCUAAUCCACAUUUGGACCUAGCACUAGAAGACAACCCUAAACUCCAACCAAGCUAGCCUGGCUCGCUCUCGUGCAUCUGUGUUCGCGUUCGUGCAUGAUUGCGCGUCCAUGUACUUGGAAUGGGUAGAGUCAGAGUCCGCGUUGAAGGAGAGGGGAAGACGAGGAGCCGAGGUGAAUAAAGAAGGCUACAGCUACUGGAAGGAAGACAAAGUGGACUAAAACAGGUAUGGACAAGAAUGUGAGUCAAACCAAAAUGACUAAGUGGUUCACUGGAAUACUACUGACAUCAACAAUGUUUCAGUGACGUUUUGUGCAUUCAACCGUGUUAC